rnacentral:rRNA from 1 species
AUUGAACGCUGGCGGCAUGCCUUACACAUGCAAGUCGAACGGUAACAGGUUAAGCUGACGAGUGGCGAACGGGUGAGUAAUAUAUCGGAACGUGCCCAGUCGUGGGGGAUAACGUAGCGAAAGCUGCGCUAAUACCGCAUACGAUCUGAGGAUGAAAGCGGGGGACCGUAAGGCCUCGCGCGAUCGGAGCGGCCGAUGUCAGAUUAGGUAGUUGGUGGGGUAAAGGCUCACCAAGCCAACGAUCUGUAGCUGGUCUGAGCGGACGACCAGCCACACUGGGACUGGGACACGGCCCAGACUCCGACGGGAGGCAGCAGUGGGGAAUUGUGGACAAUGGGCGAAAGCCUGAUCCAGCAAUGCCGCGUGCAGGAAGAAGGCCUUCGGGUUGUAAACUGCUUGUGUACGGAGCGAAAAGGUCUCCUCUAAUUCAGGGGGCUCAGGACGGUACCGUAAGAAUAAGCACCGGCUAACUACGUGCCAGCAGCCGCCGUAA